rnacentral:rRNA from 1 species
GACGAACGCUGGCGGCGUGCUUAACACAUGCAAGUCGAACGGAAAGGCCCCUUUGGGGGUACUCGAGUGGCGAACCGGUGAGUAACACGUGAGUAACCUGCCCUUGACUUCGGGAUAACUUCAGGAAACUGGGGCUAAUACCGGAUAGGAAUCCUUGCUGCAUGGUGGGGGUUGGAAAGCUUCGGCGGUUUUGGAUGGACUCGCGGCUUAUCAGCUUGUUGGUGGGGUAGUGGCUUACCAAGGCUUUGACGGGUAGCCGGCCUGAGAGGGCGACCGGCCACAUUGGGACUGAGAUACGGCCCAGACUCCUACGGGAGGCAGCAGUGGGGAAUAUUGCACAAUGGGCGGAAGCCUGAUGCAGCAACGCCGCGUGCGGGAUGACGGCCUUCGGGUUGUAAACCGCUUUCAGCAGGGGCGAAGCUUGUGGUGACGGUACCUGCAGAAGAAGCACCGGCUAACUACGUG